rnacentral:tRNA from 1 species
GUGGGUAUAGCUUAGUGGUAGAGCGCAUGCUUAGCAUGCACAAGGUCCUGGGUUCAAUCCCCAGUAGCUCCA